ACUAUCAGUACAGAGGUGAGGAUGAGGUAACACCCGUGUGGAGAAGCCUCGUCUGAUUAUUUUAGUGCCGUAUCUGUACAGUGCCAAAAGAUAACGCCAAGGUGGGCGGGGGGAGAGAGACACUGGGGUGGUAAGCCGAGAAGUUGCGCUGUUGGGGAGCUCCAGUUUGUUGCCUGCCUGUGCACGAGAGGCUGGAGUCAGGGACACAGUCGCCACUGGUCCAGACAGAAAAUGUCCUGUAUACGGGAAUUUCGCGCCUGCACCUAUGACAAGACGUGAGAGACAUGCACUGUCCGGCGCCGGUCACCGGCUGAAUGAUACACACGCGGCAUAACUUAACAGCACACGAUCUACACCAACGGCCUACAGAUAGUGCCCGUUCCAGGACGGAACUGCAAGCGCAACGCUUUUCACUAAGCACCGCGCUCUGUUUUUUCCGUCUCUUCUUGUCCAGCACAUCGCGUUCCUACUGGGAUACGCGGGGAGUUGUUCUGUUGCCCGUCAAGUAAACCUCGCUGCAGCUACGCCACUUUGACCGGCUGAUGGCGUCCACUGGGGGAGGGUCGGUCGAUCGCCAACUACAUGAAAACUUUAUCAGGGUGCUGUGCGUGUCAUGCAAAAGGUACAUUUAGUGGGACGUCCUCGAGUUGGCACGACGCGAGCGCAGGAAACGGUGCCCCAUCCACCCCGCAAAGAGCAGAAACUCUUCCAUGAAAAAGAAAAGUUACCUACUGUUGGACUCCCUCCAUACAGGUAGCGGUGAACGCAGCGUCAGUGUGACGGUUUCUAGAGUUGUGGAGUAGCCUGAAGUGAUGCCACACCCGAGUCUGUUGAAGGUGAGUCUCAGCGAGCUUUUGAACCGGUUAUUUCACGUUCUUCCGGAAACUCUAUCGCAGACGCUUUCAGCGGAGAAUGCUAGACCUUAUCCAAUUCGUUACGCAGUACUAGCAAAGGCACACCCGCAUCGGGGAGGUUCAAGAAGACACAGGUAAACGGCUACCGGCGGCGGGGGGGGGGUGGGGGGACAGCAGAAGAGUCCCCCCAAUAGCGUCAACACAUGGGAGUUGCUUAAAUGCCGGUACCUUCAGAGGCAAUAUGAAGAAGGGGGAACGAAUAUGUUUGCUUUUCUUGCGUCGUCCCACUCUAGGUCGUCUAGGAAGCAGUGGCCCGUCUGAGUUUCUGUCCGAGUGCAUCUACCGAGAUUGAAGCUUGCUCAGGCCGUUGAAGGAUGGUUCCUUUCAGGGUGUGUGUGCAUCCUUUUUGCGUAGAUAUUUUUCUGGCCUAUGCAUGUGCAGCUUUCUGUUGGCAUCAUCCGCGUUUGGGGUAUGAUGGAACGCUAGGCCAUACCCUGCAUGGAAGACACUGCGUGGAAAGGCGGUUGUUUUUGCGAACUAUCCCUCACGGCCUCCACAGAAGCUCACCGCCUAAGUUGACUACAUCUUCUGUUUCUGGUGCUCCUUUUGAAUCCGCUGCAGUCCACCACCAGUGAGUUGUGACUGGGACGUGCCCAGUACACACGGUCACUGCUGCGAGCAACAGCUUUCAAAGCACCAACCGCUAGGCAGUGGAAUUUAUAAGUUUUGACUGAAAACGUGCAUGAUCCCAGCUCGAGCAACUCCUGACUGAGUGUAGC
rnacentral:lncRNA from 1 species